rnacentral:rRNA from 1 species
GGUAAUUUGACCGUGCAAAGGUAGCAUAAUCAUUAGUUUUUUAAUUGAAAGCUGGAAUGAAAGGUUGGAUGAGAAAGAAGCUGUCUCUGUUUAAUUUAUUUAGAAUUUUAUUUUUAAGUUAAAAAGCUUAAAUUUAAAUAGAAGACGAGAAGACCCUAUAGAGUUUUAUUAUUUUUUUUUAUAAAAAUAAUAGUAUUUUAAAAUUUUAUAGAUAAAAUUAAUUUAGUUGGGGUGAUUGAAAAAUUAAAUUAACUUUUUUUUUAUAAAUACAUUUAUAUAUGAUUAUUUGAUCCUUAAUUUGAGAUUAAAAGAUAAAAUUACCUUAGGGAUAACAGCGUAAUUUUUUUUGAGAGUUCUAAUCGAAAAAAAAGAUUGCGACCUCGAUGUUGGAUUAAAAUAAAAUUUUGGUGUAGAAGCUAAAA